rnacentral:lncRNA from 1 species
GUUUAUCCCAAGUGUGCAGCGUGCGCUUCCGGGCUGGUUAAUGAUUACCCUGAAGAGUGAGUGGUUCUUGAGAGCGUUGGCAGCAGAGGCUUUGUCGCUUUUCUCUGAUUGCAGCGAGAGCAGGUGGUGCUUUCUUGCACUGUGAGAAGCACAGUCUGUUUCUUUGAUUUCAGAUGGGCUCCACAACUCGGGAGGGCGCUCAUCUCUCAGUCCUCUCUCUGCUGAGCAGUUACUGGGCCUAUCUUUCUCUCGAUGGAUAACAACCCUUGCGUUGCGGUUGCUAGAAGGCGGGACAUCUCUGCCUGGAAUAGGGCACCGUGGGAUGAAGGCUAUUAGGAGGAGAGUGGUCCUUGAGAAAGACCUAUCAUGAGAAGAAAGGACCCUGGUCUCAUCCAUCAAUUAUUCAUGAAAGCACGAGGUGUGUUUAUCUUAGUACCAGCAGACAACAAGAACUAAACUUGAGGAGGCUUCUGAAGAGUCACUGGAGUUGGGUGCCUGAAAAUCUGCACUUGAUUAUUAAGGAACAUCCAGCCAGGCAUGGUGGAUUUUCGUCCCUUUAAUCCCAAUGCUCAGGAGGCAGAGGCAGGCAGAUCUCUAUGAGUUCCAGCCAGCCUGGUCUGCGUACACCUUUCUAGGCCAGGCAGGGCUACAUGGUAAGCCCUUGUCUCAAAACAAAAACAACGACAAAGGAGAGACAAGAGAGAGGAACAUCCAGUCACUGGGAAUCCUAGCACUUAGGAGCAAGAGAACUGAGUUUGUGACUGUGUAACAAGAAAUGUGCUUUGCGCCUUAACCCAUCACGUUCUGCUGGCUCUCGUUUGUCUGUUCUGAGCCAAUAUUCACAUUUCCUGGAAGUUGAAACAUGUACCUUAUAGACUGACACAGUGGUGACUCCUGACUCAGAGUUACUGAAGGAUGGGAAGAGAUCUUUGUUCUUCUAAACUCUAUGACUCUGGGUGUUUGUUUGUAUGUCUGUGAAUCAAUCGCGUGCACGCUUGGUGCUGAGGAAGGAAGGAAGGCCAGAAGACACGAAAUCCCCUGGAACUGGAGUUGCAGAUGGUUGUGAGUUGCCAUGUGGCUGCUGAGACUCAAACCUGAAUCCUCUGUAAGACCAGCCAUUUCUUAACUACCGGUUCAUCUGUCCAGCCCUUAAGAUUUAUUUAUUUGUUUGUUUCUUGAGACAGGGUUUCUCUGAGUAGCAGCUCUGGUUGGCCUGGAACUUACUUUAUAGACCAGGCUGGCCUUGAACUCAGAGAUCCGAGUGCUUCUGCCUCCCAAGUGUUGGGAUGAAAGCCAGAAGAUGUGUCAAAUCUCCUGGAGCUGGAGUUAAAGGUAGUUGUGAGCCACUUGGCAUGGGUGCUAGGAACUAACCUUUAGUUACCCAGUCAUCUCUCCAGCUCCUGUCUCUAAGCAACAAUUAGAACGUGCACACAGCAAAAUGGUUCCAGCUGCCUUUGGGAAACAGCUCAAAGGCUGAAAUACUGAUAAGUCGGAGUCAUUAAAUGGUUUAUGGGAAGAAUAAAGCAGAGUUAGCUCAAGUUUCUCAGGAGUUCAAGUUCUCAUUCCCACUCCUCCACCCUCUUCCCUUUUUCCUUCCUUUCUUUCUGACAAGGUCUCAUGUAUACCACACUAGCCCCAAGUUUGCUAUGCAGUCAAGCCUUUGAACUUAUGACUCUCCUGCCUCUUGUUGAGUGCUGGGAUCUCAGACCCGUGCUCCCAUUCCUAGGGUGUGUAUUGCUGGGCAUUGACCCUAGGGCUUCAGGACAAUCACUUUACCAUACAGAACCCUCAAGUCUGUC